GACGAACGCUGGCGGCGUGCUUAACACAUGCAAGUCGAACGAAGUGGCGAACGGGUGAGUAACGCGUAAUCAACCUGCCCUUCAGAGGGGGACAACAGUGGGAACCGACUGCUAAUACCGAAUACGGACGGAGGGGAUUGCGUCUGAUUAGCUAGUUGGAGGGGUAACGGCCCACCAAGGCGAAGAUCAGUAGCCGGGCUUAGAGGAUGAACGGCCACAUUGGGACUUGGACACGGCCCAGACUCCUACGGGAGGCAGCAGGUGGGGAUCUUCCGCAAUGGAGGAAAGUCUGACGGCGCAACGCCGCGUGGGUGAUGACGGCCUUCGGGUUGUAAAGCUCUGUUAAUCGGGACGCGGUACCGGAAUAGAAAGCCACGGCUAACUACGUGCCAGCAGCCGCGGUAAUAC
rnacentral:rRNA from 1 species